rnacentral:rRNA from 1 species
AGUGAACGCUGGCGGUAGGCCUAACACAUGCAAGUCGAACGGCAGCACAGUAAGAGCUUGCUCUUACGGGUGGCGAGUGGCGGACGGGUGAGGAAUACAUCGGAAUCUACUUUUUCGUGGGGGAUAACGUAGGGAAACUUACGCUAAUACCGCAUACGACCUACGGGUGAAAGCAGGGGAUCUUCGGACCUUGCGCGAUUGUAUGAGCCGAUGUCGGAUUAGCUAGUUGGCGGGGUAAAGGCCCACCAAGGCGACGAUCCGUAGCUGGUCUGAGAGGAUGAUCAGCCACACUGGAACUGAGACACGGUCCAGACUCCUACGGGAGGCAGCAGUGGGGAAUAUUGGACAAUGGGCGCAAGCCUGAUCCAGCCAUACCGCGUGGGUGAAGAAGGCCUUCGGGUUGUAAAGCCCUUUUGUUGGGAAAGAAAAGCAGCAGGUUAAUACCUCGCUGUUCUGACGGUACCCAAAGAAUAAGCACCGGCUAACUUCGUG